UGGCUCAGGAUUAACGCUGGCGGCAUGCCUAAUACAUGCAAGUCGAAUGGGGAGCUUGCUUCCCAUGGCGAACGGGUGAGUAAUACGUAGGUAACCUACCUUUAGGACGAGGAUAACCUUUGGAAACGAAGGAUAAUACUGGAUAGUAUAGAUUUCCGCAUGGAGAUAUAUUUAAAGAUUUAUCACCUAGAGAGGGGCCUGCGGUGCAUUAGCUAGUUGGCGGGAUAAAGCCCACCAAGGCGAUGAUGCAUAGCCGGACUGAGAGGUUGUACGGCCACAAUGGAACUGAGAACGGUCCAUACUCCUACGGGAGGCAGCAGUAGGGAAUUUUCGGCAAUGGGCGGAAGCCUGACCGAGCAAAUGCCGCGUGAAUGAUGAAGUAUUUCGGUAUGUAAAGUUCUUUUAUCUAGGAAGAAAAAACAAAUUGACGGUACUAGAUGAAUAAGCUCCGGCUAACUACGUGCCAGCCGCUGC
rnacentral:rRNA from 1 species